GAAGGGUUAGUAAUACAUGAAUAAUCUACCUUAAACCUGGGGAUAACGAUUGGAAACGAUCGCUAAUACCGAAUGAGGUGACAAAAGAUAACUUUUGUUUAUCAAAGUUGGGGAUCUUAUGACCUAGCGGUUUGAGAGGAGUUCAUGCGAUAUCAGCUUGUUGGUGAGGUAAAAGCUCACCAAGGCUAAGACGUCUAGGCGGAUUGAGAGAUUGAUCGCCAACACUGGGACUGAGACACUGCCCAGACUCCUACGGGAGGCUGCAGUCGAGAAUCUUUCGCAAUGGGCGAAAGCCUGACGAAGCGACGCCGUGUGAAUGAAGAAGGCCUUCGGGUUGUAAAGUUCUUUCGCUUAGGAACAAGAAAAGUAAAUGAAUAAUUUACUCAUUUGAGUGUACUAGGUAAAGAAGCACCGGCUAACUCCGUGCCAGCAGCUGCGGUAAUACGGAGGGUGCAAGCAUUAAUCGGAUUUAUUGGGCGUAAAGAGCGCGUAGGUGUUUAAAUAAGUCAGAUGUGAAAUUUCAAAGCUCAACUUUGAGUCCGCAUUUGAUGCUGUUUAGAUAUGAGGUUAGACGGAGAAAAUGGAAUUCCACGUGUAGCGGUGAAAUGCGUAGAUAUGUGGAAGAACAUCGGUGGCGAAAGCGGUUUUCUAGUUUAAACCUGACGCUGAGGCGCGAAAGCAAGGGGAGCAAACAGGAUUAGAUACCCUGGUAGUCCUUGCCGUAAACGAUGCAUACUUGAUGUAGUUGGGCUCAACCCCAACUUUGUCGAAGCUAACGUGAUUAGUAUGCCGCCUGAGGAGUACGCUCGCAAGGGUGAAACUCAAAAGAAUUGACGGGGACCCGCACAAGCAGUGGUGCAUGUGGUUUAAUUCGAUGCAACGCGAAGAACCAUACCCAGGCUUGACAUGCAGAGGACAGCUUCUGAAAAGAAGUCUCCCGCAAGGGCCUCUGUGCAGGUGCUGCAUGGCUGUCGUCAGCUCGUGCCGUGAGGUGUUGGGUUAAGUCCCGCAACGAGCGCAACCCUUAUCAUUAGUUGCCAACACGUUAAGGUGGGAACUCUAAUGAGACUGCCUGGGUUAACCAGGAGGAAGGUGAGGAUGACGUCAAGUCCGCAUGGCCCUUAUGUCUGGGGCUACACACGUGCAACAAUGGUCGAUACAGAAGGCAGCGAAACCGUGAGGUGGAGCAAAUCCCAAAAGUCGAUCUCAGUUCGGAUUGUAGUCUGCAACUCGACUACAUGAAGUUGGAAUUGCUAGUAAUGGCGUGUCAGCUACAACGCCGUGAAUACGUUCCCGGGUCUUGUACACACCGCCCGUCACAUCAUGGAAGUUGGUUUUACCCGAAGUCGCUGACUUAACCGCAAGGGGAGAGGCGCCGAAGGUAAGGCCGAUGACUGGGAUGAAGUCGUAACAAGGUA
rnacentral:rRNA from 1 species